rnacentral:rRNA from 1 species
UGGGAACGUACCCUUUGGUUCGGAACAACCCAGGGAAACUUGGGCUAAUACCGGAUAAGUCCGUAAGGAGAAAGAUUUAUCGCCAAAGGAUCGGCCCGCGUCUGAUUAGCUAGUUGGUAGGGUAAUGGCCUACCAAGGCUACGAUCAGUAGCUGGUCUGAGAGGAUGAUCAGCCACAUUGGGACUGAGACACGGCCCGAACUCCUACGGGAGGCAG